GGAAGGUCAUCCUCCGCCACGUUGCCUCUUAAUGCACACGCUUGAGCCCAUUGGGUGCACUCCUGAGAUGUUAUCUGGCAGCUGCUGAUCACCAGUUUCAGGAGAAUUCCAGGCAUGCACCAAGUGAUGUGGCAUCAGCAGGUCCCCAUCAGAGCUGUGGAGGUGGCUUCUGUCUCACGACGGUUCUUGUCUUCUUUGCUCACAAACCCCGGAAUGCUCUUGAUCUCUGCGCCUUCCACUCCUGUUCCUCAGGUUUCAGUCAAAGUGUGAGUCCCCAGGUGUCCAAUAAAAGCAUUUUCCCA
rnacentral:lncRNA from 1 species